UACGGAGGGAGCAAGCGUUACUCGGAAUUAUUGGGCGUAAAGGGCGGGUAGGCGAUCUGAAAAGUUCUGUGUGAAAGCCCACAUGUUAACUGUGGAAGUGCACAGAAAACUGUUGGAUUUGAGUUCAGGAGAGGAAGGCAGAAUUCCCGGUGUAGCGGUGAAAUGCGUAGAGAUCGGGAGGAAUACCAGUGGCGAAGGCGGCCUUCUGGACUGACACUGACGCUGAGGCGCGAAAGCCAGGGGAGCAAACGGG
rnacentral:rRNA from 1 species